CUAUUUUAUUUCCUAUAAACAUGACUGGGAAAUAAUUCUAUUUUUUUUCUAUUUUGUUAUUGUUAGGCAUGAUUUUUCCUUCGUUAUGGCAUUGAUUUUGAAUUACUACAUACAUUUCUACUCUCCACUGCAAGUAGCAAGGAACUUGGGGUUGAAAGCUUUCCAAAGACAUAUGAAGAUGACAGAGAAGAAAAAAACGAAGGUUGAAGGAGCAAGACUGACUAGGAAGGGAAAUCUACUGGGAGGUCAUUUGCACUCAUCGAUGAAAUUAUAUAUAUAUAAAAAAGAAUGUAUAUGUAAUAUCCUAAAGCAACACAGCAAAAUUCAAGGAACAAGGUGAGAAUUACCUCUGAUGUGGGACGAU
rnacentral:lncRNA from 12 species